AAACGCACCACAGUGCGGGACGUUUUUUCGGUUGAACAAUAUAUAGAUCUCUGAGCCUUAUUGCGCCUCAUACAUCAUAUCACCAGGUUGAUGCUGUGCGUGAAUGCAUAAAGUACCACAUCAUAACCUAAAUAAAAUCACCAAAAGAGGACAACCUUCCGUGUUCUUUGAUUUGAACACACCCCCUAUACUUUUGACCGCUCCAAACUAGUGCAUCCUGGGAGACGAUCUCACAACCCGAGAAGCCUAUCUGCUACAAACACCCAGCAAGGCUUGGAAGCAAAAUGCACGGGGAGUCUCCUUGCGGGUCUGCAGACUGAAGUGGGACAGUUACACAAACACACUGGCACGGCGGGAGGUCGGGGUGAGCAGGUCAGUGGUGUUUCUGUUUACAGAGGAUCUCCACCGUGUGAGUGGCCACAAGGAGACAGCAGCAGUAUGUGUGUGUGUGUGUGUGUGUGUGUGUGUGAGACGAGUCAUCAUUUUUAUAUGCAGGGAAAGACUGUGCGUCUCCCAAGGUGACUCCAUGCUGUGCCUGCCAGGGAAUGUGAAUUGAAAUAAAGGGAAAAGGUCAUUGGGGUGACAAAGAGUCAGGAAUAGUUGCAGCUCGGACAUUUCAGCAUGGAUAUGAUUGGUGUGUGUGAGCGUGUGGCUCUCAUUUCCUCCCUAUCAGCACUCAUCUGUGCACUGCUGAAUUGGGGGAGUGGGAUGGGAGGAUGCAUGCAAAAUGUAUUUGGUUAUUUCUUUGCCAACGCAGUACACUGCAGACCUCUACUAAGGCCAAACAGUUGCCAGAUUGUAGCCAUGUGACCGAGGCUAAAUUCUGCUCAUAUCUGACCUGUAUCUGAUUUUUUUAGGUCAGUGUGAACAGUAAAAUUGUACGUAGAUAUAAAUCUACUGGAUUGGGAACAGACAUCAUGGCAUCUUCCUUAAUUCCUAAAUGAUGACUCUCGUUGUGCUUAAUUCUUGAAACUAAAAGCCUGGCCUUCUCACCGCACUCUUUAAAUGACAUGGAAAGCAGCUGCAGUGCAUACAGAAUGCUGCUGCUAGAGUCCCGACUAGAACCAGGAAAUAAAACCACAUUGGUCUAGUACUCAGGUCUUUGUACCGGCUUCCUGUCGCAGAGAGAGAAUAUUGUCAACACCAAAAAGAAUCCAGAGCGAGGAGAACGUAAAUCUGAGAAGAAGAAGGCAACAGAACCGAAAGCGCAGAAAACAGAAGCGAGCUUAGAAAUCAGGAAGUGAGGUGAUGACUUUUAUUAGUAACGUGACCCCAUACUCUUCCACCAAAGUACACCUCUGAUAUAUUAGAGCAGGGGUCUCAAACACGCAGCCCGCGGGCCAAAUGUGGCCCACAGGACACCAGUUUGAGGCCCCCGCCUUGAUAUGAAAGUUUAAUGUUAGUGCGGCCCGCGCAAGUUUGAUAUGGAUGCUGUAUGGUAUCAUGUACCCAGAAAAAAUUAUUACGUUUGAUUAAUGUUCAUGUUAAAGGUUAAAUAACUGUUAAUAGUUAUCCUCCCUAUCCGUGUGGAAGUGGUAUGUUUUGGGCUAUUUAAGUUUAAAGGAAAUAACUUGAAGGCUACCGUUUAGGUCGCUAGCUCUCUAGUUUGCGAGUUAGCAUGUGUCUCAAGACCCUGCAGUUGCGCAAUAUGUUGUCAAUAAAAAGAGUAUAAAUGUGUAGUCGUGUUUUGUCAUGUCUACAGGGCUCUAAUAAUCCUUUGUUAAUUUUAAUCUGAAAAAAAAUAAUUUGUCUACCCACCAACUAUAUGUGGUUUC